rnacentral:rRNA from 1 species
AUGUGGGAUUUCUAAGACAACUAGGAUGUUGGCUUAGAAGCAGCCACUCAUUUAAAGAGUGCGUAAUAGCUCACUAGUCGAGAGAUCCUGCGCCGAAGAUGUAACGGGGCUCAAACUUACCACCGAAGCUAUGGAUGUGUACUAUGUACACGUGGUAGAGGAGCUUUCUGUACAGGUUGAAGUCAUACCGUAAGGAGUGGUGGACAGUACAGAAGUGAGAAUGCUGGCAUAAGUAGCGAAAAACAAGUGAGAAUCUUGUUGACCGAAUAUCUAAGGUUUCCUGGGGAAGGCUCGUCCUCCCAGGGUUAGUCGGGACCUAAGCCGCGGCCGAAAGGCGUAGGUGAUGGACAACUGGUUGAUAUUCCAGUACCACCAUAAUGCGUUUGACAAAUGGGAUGACGCAGGAGGAUAGGAUGUGCGCACUAUUGGAUGUGCGUCUAAGCACUUAGGGUGUUAAGUAGGCAAAUCCGCUUAACAUUAAGCCUGAGGUGUGAUGGGGAGCCUAUUUUGGCGAAGUAUCUGAUUCCACGCUGCCAAGAAAAGUCUCUAUGGAGCAAAAUGGUGCCCGUACCGCAAACCGACACAGGUAGAUGAGGAGAGAAUCCUAAGGUCGUCGGAAGAAUUAUUGCUAAGGAACUCGGCAAAUUGACCCCGUAACUUAGGGAGAAGGGGUGCCUACGAGAGUAGGCCGCAGUGAAUAGGCUCAAGCAACUGUUUAUCAAAAACACAGG